rnacentral:lncRNA from 1 species
CUUUACAGGAUUUCCGUGUGAAGUUUGCAAGAUUUCUACGUGAAGUUUGCAGGAUUUCUAUGCGAAAACGCUCAUCUCUACCCCUAGCUCUGCCUUAAAACACACCCCCCUGGUCGGUGCUAAUAAAGCACAAUCUAAUAAAAAACCCGCUUCUUUCCCCAAAGAGAGGGCCCAGCGGCUGGCCGGCCGGCAGGUGAUGACGGUGUCUGCCUGCGCCGCCUCCUGCUGCUGCUCUCAGCCGGAGUUUGGCUCCAGAGCCGUGAAUCUUCUUAAUGUAAGCAUAUAAUUAGUCUCACCGGCACCACGUUACACACUCUCAUAAAAAGCGUUCUGGCAACUUGAAGAUUUUCCAGGAUAGCUUAGGUAAUCGUUUACAUGACUCUGACAAACUGUCUCCGGCUUCCUUGUCUUCAUUUGCACGCAGGGAGGAACAUGGAAACUCACCAGGAGGCAGUUGGCUUGGCAGGGAGUUUUGAUAAUUAAUGUAUCCGAUAAUCCACAAAGCAUUUGACCACUUAGGAAAAUUAUUAUGAUGCCUGUCUUUAACAUACCCAAUUAGAUUUUCAACUAAAUUUACUGGCACAUAACUUCUUUAACAGUCAAAAAGUGAUUGGUAUUGCCAAUGUACGUUUUCCUGUAAACUCAGUGGAGGCAGAUUGAAGUAAAAUACUUCAUGAAAUAAUUAACUUAACACCCAUCUUCCCAGUAGCCCAAUCACAGCCAUACCAGGUGAAUCGGGAGCAACUGAUGCUGUAUCAUUACCUACCAGCUGUACAGCAAUUGAGUUAAAUACUAAAUUAACUGCAAGUUGUAAAGUUACAAAGGUGGAGUCAAUUCACCAAUUUAGUCAGUAAGCCACAUUCAACCAAUGUCGGUGCGUGGGGGAAAUGGCUCUUCUGAAGCAGAACAUGACAAAUCUACAACUCCACUCCAAGUCCUGUACUACUCCAGAAGCCUCAAACACAAUGGACAGGAACACAACCCCACAGCAGCUUUUUCCAUUUUAAGUAGACCAAGAUCGGCCUGCCUGCUCUCGUACAACAUGGCAAUCUGAAGAUGCUAUUCCAAUGGUAUUUCAAUACAGAAUUAGCCCAUCUACAGCUAGAAAACUUAAGUACUGUCCGGAG